CCGUCCGCGGCUAUAAUGCAGUCGAGCGCGGGAAGCGAGUGGAUCCCUUCGGGGUGAAGCUCGUGGAACGAGCGGCGGACGGGUGAGUAACACGUGGGCAACCUGCCUGUAAGAUCGGAAUAACCCCGGGAAACCGGGGCUAAUGCCGGGUAAUACUUUCUUUCGCAUGAAGGAAAGUUGAAAGAUGGCUUCUUGCUAUCACUUACAGAUGGGCCCGCGGCGCAUUAGCUAGUUGGUGAGGUAACGGCUCACCAAGGCGACGAUGCGUAGCCGACCUGAGAGGGUGAUCGGCCACACUGGGACUGAGACACGGCCCAGACUCCUACGGGAGGCAGCAGUAGGGAAUCUUCCGCAAUGGACGAAAGUCUGACGGAGCAACGCCGCGUGAACGAUGAAGGUCUUCGGAUCGUAAAGUUCUGUUGUUAGGGAAGAACAAGUACCGUGCGAAUAGAGCGGUACCUUGACGGUACCUAACGAGGAAGCCCCGGCUAACUACGUGCCAGCAGCCGCGGUAAUACGUAGGGGGCAAGCGUUGUCCGGAAUUAUUGGGCGUAAAGCGCGCGCAGGCGGUUCCUUAAGUCUGAUGUGAAAGCCCACGGCUCAACCGUGGAGGGUCAUUGGAAACUGGGGAACUUGAGGACAGAAGAGGAGAGUGGAAUUCCACGUGUAGCGGUGAAAUGCGUAGAUAUGUGGAGGAACACCAGUGGCGAAGGCGACUCUCUGGUCUGUUUCUGACGCUGAGGUGCGAAAGCGUGGGUAGCAAACAGGAUUAGAUACCCUGGUAGUCCACGCCGUAAACG
rnacentral:rRNA from 1 species